AUACCCAAGUAGCUUUGGCUUUUAUGUGUGGAACUAACUAUUUGUUAGAAAGAGCUCUUUGUUGCCGCCUUCUCCUUUCUAUAAUUCCAUGGACUUUCUUUUUGUCUUUGCCUCCUUUUCUUUUCCCCUUUUCCAUCUCUUUAAAUUCUCCUCCUUUGAGUCCUUUCUACUGUUCUCUGCUUCCAAGGAAAUAUCCAACAACUCAGCAAUACAAAACACAGCAGAAGGAGCAACCUGUAACUUUUUCUUUUCAAUCAACUGAAACUGAGUGGCAGUGGUGGUAUUUUCUUGACUUGAAGAGACAUGUGGCUGCCAUAGUAAUCAGGCUGCGCAGGGCAGUGGAAGGGAUGUGGGGCAACAAAGAUUGCUCCAUCUCCUGGAGUCAAUCUGGCAGAUUUGGUUGUUAUUCUCUUUUAACCAAUCAACCAAAAACUUUGCUGCUUCAAUCAAUCCAUCCUCCAACUCUACCCAUGCCCAUUUUGGUGUUCCAUCUCUCUUAACCAAAGGAAAGCAUUUAUUAGACAAAUUUAAUUUAGCUGCAGAAAUUAUGAUUGCUGGGUUGUCUAUACAUUUUCUUUCACUGUUUGGAAUGACAGGAACAUCAGAAUGUUUCACAAAAUUCUUCAAUAUGCUUAAGCUGUGUCUUAGUCUCUUUGGCUCUGUAUUCUUUUAGUUGUUUCAGCUCU